rnacentral:rRNA from 1 species
UAGUCCACGCCGUAAACGAUGGGUGCUAGACGUUGGCCUUUAUGGUCGGUGUCGUAGCCAACGCGUUAAGCACCCCGCCUGGGGAGUACGGUCGCAAGAUUAAAACUCAAAGGAAUUGACGGGGACCCGCACAAGCGGUGGAGCAUGUGGUUUAAUUCGAGGCAACGCGAAGAACCUUACCUGCUCUUGACAUCCUGAUCGCCGCUCUUGUAAUGAGAGCUUCAGUUCGGCUGGAUCAGUGACAGGUGCUGCAUGGCUGUCGUCAGCUCGUGUCGUGAGAUGUUGGGUUAAGUCCCGCAACGAGCGCAACCCUCACCCUUAUUUGCCAGCGGUUCGGCCGGGAACUCUAAGGGAACUGCCCGUGGUAAGCGGGAGGAAGGCGGGGAUGACGUCAAGUCAGCACGGGCCCUUAUGGGGCAGGGGCUACACACGUGCUACAAUGGGUGGUGACAGUGGGGCUGCGACCUCGCGAGAGGGAAGCUAA